AAGCUACCGUGCGCUGGAUUAUGACUGAACGCCUCUAAGUCAGAAUCUGGGCUAGAAGCGACGCACGCGCCCGUCGCCCGAUUGCCGACCCGUAGUAGGGGCCUUUGGCCCCCAAGGGCACGUGUCGUAGGUGCAGUGACCGCGGCGGACAAGUCACGGACGCCUCCUUGGAGCUUAAUUCCCACCGAGCGACGGGUAGAAUCCUUUGCAGACGACUUAAAUACGCGACGGGGUAUUGAAAGUGGCAGAGUGGCCUUGCUGCCACGAUCCACUGAGAUUUAGCCCUUUGUCGCUUCGAUUCGU
rnacentral:ncRNA from 1 species